rnacentral:lncRNA from 1 species
CUCUCCGUGAUUUCAGUAGGUCACGAAAUUAACUGGUACAGACUUCGGACACAUCUGCUCUUUUGGCAACUCGUGCCCUCGGCGAGGCUGCUCAUUGGCUCGCCCUAACCAUGCGAUGGGUCUCCAGGAGCUGAUUUGUGCUCCCCGAGCUAAGUGCAGCGCAGUGACGAAGCCCGACCAUUUCGAAAAUGCUGAAGCACGUACCAGGGGCUGAACCUUCCCGGCAACUGCAGCGCAGCCUCACAUGUUCCCGAAGAGCUCUGUGGACCCCUGAGUGGAGGGGGGCGCGGGGGGUUGCUGCAUGUGGCUGAAUGCUGCUUUGCAAGGCUCAGACUCAGGAAAAUGCCAGGGGGUUCAGGAAAAUGUAGCAAAGCAAUGAAGGGUGGUGCUGCAUCAAUUCUGCUGCUGGCUGCUGUGUCAAGCCAGAAGCUGGAGGUCAAGUGCCUGCUGCAAAUCCAGCUCUGAUCUGCUGGUCUGCCCUAAGCCUUUUGCCUCUGUGCCUGUUGUCAGUCAGGUGUGUGCCUACCCUUUGCACAAGUAAAGGUUGUGUCAACAUGUGAAACAUUUUUGGGACAAGACAAAAAUUUGGAUCCUAGGCAUGGCUGGUGGUCAAUGGUCAUUCCAUAAAGGAUUUCACAGAGCAACAGGAUUUGGUUGAAAAGGAGAUUGCAAAACUGCAGGAAAGAGCUUCCAUUGUUUGCUCGGGAUCCUGAAGGGCCAUCUGCAUUAUUGUCUCUCUGCAGAGAUGUGUCUUUGCCCACAGAAAAACCUGGAAAAGUGUGCGGUGGGAGAUGGACAGACCACGUAGGAGAUACAGUUCUCCUCCAUCAGACCAAAGGCGUGGCCAGUCAGCAUUGGCCCACCUCAGGGAAGGGGAAACUAAGAAAUAAAGAGCGGAACUGGGUGUGCAGCACUGUAAGUAGGGGAACUGUAUCAAGACCAUCCAGGGAUUUAUCCCCUGCACACAACCCAUGCCAUCUCUCUGUGCCACGCAUGGCAUGGUGAGCUGCAGCUGCCAGUGGUGCUGGUGGCAGUGCUUUUAGCAGAGGCUAAGCUGCAAAUCUCUGUGUUGUCGAGCAACCUUAGUGCAAAUAAUCAGAGGCAUACACUAAUCCUAUAAGGCUAGAUGGUGGCCAGACCCGGUGUGGGAGCACAGCAUGCAAGAGCAAGAGAGGAGUCUACUUCACUCCCUAUCUGGAUUUGCAGCUCCUGGACUCUCUGCAAGCUCCUGGGGUAAAACACAUUCCUAGCCCUUUCCCUCCUAUCCACCAUGCCAGAAAAGUCUUUGCUGCUGCACUGCUGAGGCCUGCAGGGGUGUAUUCAGCACUUCGUGAAGAAGCAUCCCUAUUAAAGAUCUCUGUGGAGGCAAAC